CUUAACUCCGGCUCCGUCCACCCAGUGUUCAGACUACCUGUUCAUUGUCAUACUGGUGUACAGUAGUCUGCACAUUGGUUAGACUGGGCAUGGACCCUCU